UACGUAGGGGGCAAGCGUUGUCCGGAUUUAUUGGGCGUAAAGAGCGUGUAGGCGGCCAUACAGGUCAGCUGUGAAAACUCGAGGCUCAACCUCGAGACGUCGGUUGAAACCGUAUGGCUAGAGUCCGGAAGAGGAGAGUGGAAUUCCCGGUGUAGCGGUGAAAUGCGCAGAUAUCGGGAAGAACACCCGUGGCGAAGGCGGCUCUCUAGUACGGUACUGACGCUGAGGUGCGAAAGCGUGGGGAGCAAACAGGG
rnacentral:rRNA from 1 species